rnacentral:lncRNA from 1 species
GGCUCAUUCCCAAAGUAAUGCCUCGCCCUCACAGCUAAGUGGAAACCAAACCAGCCACCAGAGAAAUGGAAGUUAGGCCAUUGUAUCAGUCAGGAUAUUCUUUUAAAUAACCAGAGGGCUUUGUUGUCUCUUAGAAUUGGAAUGUCAAGUGGGAAGAUAAGUUUCAGGGGCUGUUUGAUUGAGCAACCCAAAAAUGUCAUUAAGAAAAGAUCCGGCUUCUUUCCAUCUCUCCACUCUACUUUUUACAGGUCAAUGAAUCCAAGUUGUUUUUGUUUUGUUUUGUUUUCAUUAUGACAAAAUGGUGGCAGCCAUUCUAGACUGACACGCCACAGCAGCUGGAAGAAAGACACGAUCUUUUCCUCUGAUGCCUCUCUCAGAAGCAUUCCAGUUUAUGUCUUCCUCUUGCCUAUUUGAGGACUAAAGUCAAAAUGUCUAUACCAUCCUGUACAGCCACAUAUGGGUCUUGAGCACUUGAAAAGUGACUGGUCCAGCUUCACAUGUGCUCACUGUACCAGCCUCUGGAGGAAAUGCAAGAGACCUUCCAGACCUGAUCACCACACCCUAUUCAUAAUCUCGCCAUGGAGAAGAGACAUCCACUUAUGAAGCCAGCAGAACAGAUGUGGGCAACUUUCAAAAACGAAGUAACAAAUGGUCAGCUCCUGUUCUUCUGUAGUGCUGAGGAUGGAAGGAGAAAGAGUUCACACAGAAUGGGACCCUAGCGAUAUGAAAGUCAAGAAAAAGUCAAUUGAUAACUUCAAAUGGACCAGAGCUGGCACCAUAAGUGCCAUGGACCUGUCAUGCCUGCUAAACUGAAUGGCAAAGUCCUUUAAAUACAAUAAAUAUUACAUGUCACUUUGGGUUUCUUGAGUCUAAUGCUCUCAAGUUUGGGAAAUCUUAUGAAGCAAUGAUUACGUAAUUAAGAUAAAUCACAAAGGAAAUUGUCUCAUUUUUUUUACGAUAGCAACAAGUCUUUUUUUUUACUUUAAGUUUGUUUCGUUUUUAUUAGAAUUAGUAGUAGUAUUGCUCUGGAAAGAAUGUUCUAUUCAGAAGCAGAAAAUGGGAAGUAACUGUGAAUUUACAAUUUUCUUACCCUAGCUCAUAUUUAUUUCUUUUAAACACAAGUACUUGUCAUCAAACCAAAGUUAAAUAUUAUGAUGUCACAGAUGCUGAACUAAAUACAUUAAGAUACACAAAAUACAUGGGUACUAUCAUAGUCCAUGACAGAAAAAAACUCAUUAAUUAAUCUUUGAGACAAGAGAAAAAGGUUGGUUGGAACCCUACCUCAGCUUCUUUCAUGACAUGAAUAUGUUCAUUAAUCUUUCUAGACUUUAAUAUUCCCAUUAGAAAAAUGUAGGCCUUGUCAACCCCAAAGUAUUGUCAUCAUAGAUUGUCGAAUGGUUUCUUUUGAAGACUCAACUAAGUGCAAAGUUUAAAGUAUUAAUUAUUUUGUAUUAUUUCACUCAUUACAAUUCAGCUUUAAAAUAUAAGGGAAUAUAUUACACAAGGUUAUUUUGGAAGUAAUUCCAUAAAAAUUUCAAAACUAAAGGAUAUAAUUAAGUAUAUAAUUAACUUCUACCAUAUCCAUAUGAUAGAACCAUUGGCCUUCUCCUGUGCCUUUACUGGAACAUUGAUUAAGCUCAAGCCCAAAUUGACUGUUGUUGGCCACAAUGGAGUACCUGAUAUUAUAUCAAAUACCUCUGGUUCUCAAUAUAGUCAUAGCUUCAAAGAAUUUUUUCUUUCAAUUCCCAGAGGAACCACCGUAGGAGGCGUCUUACUUUCUCCAGAGUUUAACAUAUGUACAAUUUCAGACCAAACACAUUUCUUUUAAAAGCCCACAUAUCAAAAUUGUGCACUGCAUCUUAAUGCUGUCUGUGCCCCAGUAUGUAAUUUGUUUGGGGUUUUUCUGUUGCUUUUUUGUUGUUGUUGCCUUACUUUGAAUAAGUAAAUUAACCAAUGAAUGCCUGAGGACACGCAGCACAUGUUCAGGGCUUGUGACACAGAAGGGCAUAAAAGCAAGGAUGGUAAUAUCUGCUAAUAGAACUUCCCAUCCCAGGAGGGGGUUUUCAUUUCUUUUGUUUGCACAAUUUAAAUAGGCAAAGCUACCCCUUUAAAUGACACGAACCUUUUGUCCCUAUGAGAUUUCGGUUAUCAGGCCACAGUCUGUCAGUUUGAAACCAUUUCCUUCCCAAUUAGCUUGCAGUUGGGUGGUGUGUCAUGCUGUUUUGCGGUUUCUCCACCUUCAUUUGACCUUCAGCAUCAUCUGCAAUGCUCUCUGUUUAGCACCAAAAAUCACAAUCAAUGCAGAGAGGCACCUGGUGUGUUUGCUCAAGAAUUUUGUGCUUGAAACCUUAUAGCUUGAGAGGAUUUGGGGACUGUGGUUUGUCUGUAGUUGAAGGUUUCCUCUGUGACUGGGAUACUUUCUCUUCCUGAGACUGCAGGGAAUAACAACCCCAGAAAAUCUCCCUUACAUUUAAUGCUCCCGCGCAUUAGUGGCAGUGCAAGGGAACACACCUUUAUCAGUAGAUACUAUCUCUUCGACCCUUAUCUUGUUUUAACUGAGAUUUGGGCUAUUUCCCCUUAAGCCAAUUCUCUCUAGCUAUUCCCAUCCCCUUCCUUCCUGCUUCACAAUGAUUGCCUACAGACAGAGACUGCAGCCCACCUAAACAUCAUUUCUCAUACUCUUCUUUCUCAUUACUGCCACCACCCAAUUAUAAAAUACAACUGAAUAGCAUAGAAUGACAAUGUAAGUGGGGGGGAGGAGAAAAUCAAUGAGUCCAGUGCAAACAUCCAGUCUGUCUGAAAGAAUCCCAAAACAAAGGUAAAAUAAAUACCAGCUUACCCAGUACCUCUGCAGUUUGAGACUGAAUCCUACCAGAGUGAAACCGCAGCAUCUGAAAACAGUAAAUGGCAUAAUUAAAGAAACCCUUAAAUCAAAAUAUAUAAGUGAGACCUGUUUCCAUGAAUAUAUCAGGUUAUUAUUAAGCCAUUGGAGAAGGUGUAGGAAAUAUUAAAGAAUCACUUAAAAAUUUUUAAAGCAAUAGCUUCACCUCCAAGCUUUAAGAAAUUUCUUAACUUCUAACAAAACAGAAAGUUAGUUUUGAAAUUUCAGAAAGACAGAAAGCCCUAAAUGUCAUUUGUUCCAGUCUCCCUGUUCUACAAGUGAGGAAACUGAGGCCCCAGAAAUUCAAGGCACUCAAUCAACACGAAUGAAGAGACCCAGAAGCAUAGCUGCACACAUAAGAGCAGAGGCCCGUCCUUCCAAACCCUACCUCACUUUUUCCAUCCCAUUCUCUGGGAAUCAGAAGAAGCUUGAGAAGUAGUAAUGGCAGAAAAGAAAGGUCUAAGUCCUCAAAAUUGUUUGUUCAGCAUUUUAUCUGGAGUCUGCCUCUUUUGACAUUUAAAUCAUCAACCUCUUGCCAGGUGAAAACUCUGAAAAAGAAGAGAAAUCACAAUCUGGCUUAAGAAGUUUGACAAAGAAGUAAAGCAAAGAAAUGUCAAAGGGUUAAAGCUGAGCAUCCAGACUACACAAAGAAGCCCUAAGUGAGCUGAUUGUAGUAGGAGCAUUAGCCUGAAAAUCAGUACUGCCUGGGAGCACUUCCAUCUGUCAAUCAGAAAACAUUAGAGUGGGUACUUAGAGAGUUAAGAGCAGACCCAACAGCCAAAAUGAUGAGCUUCCAAGUGAAAUCUAAGGAAUAGCGACUGUGAUUUGCUAUGGAGAGGUAUCUAUCACUCUAUCAUAACUAUUGCCAUUGCCAUCAACUUUAAUUUUCUACCUAGACACCCACCAGAAUGGCUAAAUUAAAAAGGACAGACAACUCUAAACACCGACAGGGGUAUGGAGCAACACCAUACGUUGUGGGUGGGACCGGAAAGGCGGAACCACUGUGACAAGUUCUGAUAGUUACUUAUACAACUAAACAUAUAUCUACCCUUUGUCCCAGCAAUUCUACUUCUUGGCAUUUACCCAAGAGCAACAAAAACAUAUCUUUACAAAAAGAUUUAUACAGUAUUCAGAACAGCUUUAUCCAUGGAAUCCAAAAACUAGAAAAAGUCCAUCAACAAAAAAAUGAAUAAACAAACUAUAGAAUAUUCAUACAAUGAAAUAUCAAUCAGCAAGUAAAAGGAACAAACAACAUUACCCACAGCAAUAUGGAUAAAUGUCAAAAUGUUAUGCAAAGUGGAAGAAGCCUCACACAAAAGAGUCAUUGGUGGAAAAGUCAGAACACUGGUUGUCUCUGGAGGGGUGGGGCUGGGGAGAGGCAGAAAUUGACUGGGAAAGGGUGUGAGGGAACCUUCUGGGGUGAUAGUUAUAUUUUAUAACUUGAGAGAAAUUUGGGUUACACAGUAUUUAUCAAAACUCUGUAAAUCUGUACUCAAGACCUGUGCAUUUCAUUGCAUGUACAUCUUACAUCAAAAGAAAAAAAAAACUGUAAACGUGUUAAACUUUAGUUAUAUAUGCAUAUUAUGAAGUAUUUAGGGUUAAGUGUAUUUAUGUCUGCAAUUUAUUUUGAAAUGCAUCAAAAAUAUAGACUCAUAGAUGGAUAGAUGAAUAGAUAAAUUAGACAGAUAAAUAGAUGAUUGAUAGAUAAUAGCUAGAUAGAUAAAAAUAGCUAUAGUAAAAUAUUAAUAGCAGACACUCCAUUGUAUAUAAGUGUUCACUAUAUAAUUCAUUCAUCUUUGUUGUCUGUAUGAAAAAUUUUAUAAUAAAAUGUGGAGG